AAGGCCGCCGCCGCGUCCCUCCGUGCCAGCGCGUUUCCCUUUCUUCCAGCUUCGAGAACGACUGAAGUGUGGUGAGAGGAGUGACUCUGAAACGUCUGCUUCAAAAGGACCCAACAUUUGCUGGCACACUGGCAGGCACCUGUAAUCCCAGCAACUCCAGAGGCUGAAACGAGAGGAUCCCUUGAGCCUGGAAGUUUGAGGCUGCAAUGAGCUAUGAUGGUGUCACUGCAUUCCAGUCUGGGUGACAGGGUAAGACCCCAUCU
rnacentral:lncRNA from 1 species